rnacentral:snoRNA from 1 species
AAAGUGAUGAUGAAAAGUUAUCCCUGGCUGAGCGUUGAUGAAACUUUCCUCUGAUUCUUCGA